CCUUCGGGAGGCUGCAGUGAGGAAUAUUGGUCAAUGGCCGUAAGGCUGAACCAGCCAAGUAGCGUGAGGGAAGACUGCCCUAUGGGUUGUAAACCUCUUUUAUGCGGGGAUAAAGGUGUCCACGUGUGGAUGUUUGCAGGUACCGCAUGAAUAAGGACCGGCUAAUUCCGUGCCAGCAGCCGCGGUAAUACGGAAGGUCCGGGCGUUAUCCGGAUUUAUUGGGUUUAAAGGGAGCGUAGGCCGCAUGUCAAGCGUGCUGUGAAAUGUCCGGGCUCAACCCGGGCCUUGCAGCGCGAACUGGCGUGCUUGAGUCCGCGGAAAGCAGGCGGAAUUCGUCGUGUAGCGGUGAAAUGCUUAGAUAUGACGAAGAACCCCGAUUGCGAAGGCAGCUUGCUGCAGCGGAACUGACGCUGAUGCUCGAAAGCGCGGGUAUCGAACAGGAUUAGAUACCCGGGUAGUC
rnacentral:rRNA from 1 species